AGUGAACGCUGGCGGUAGGCCUAACACAUGCAAGUCGAACGGCAGCACAGUAAGAGCUUGCUCUUACGGGUGGCGAGUGGCGGACGGGUGAGGAAUACAUCGGAAUCUACUUUUUCGUGGGGGAUAACGUAGGGAAACUUACGCUAAUACCGCAUACGACCUACGGGUGAAAGCAGGGGAUCUUCGGACCUUGCGCGAUUGAAUGAGCCGAUGUCGGAUUAGCUAGUUGGCGGGGUAAAGGCCCACCAAGGCGACGAUCCGUAGCUGGUCUGAGAGGAUGAUCAGCCAUACUGGAACUGAGACACGGUCCAGACUCCUACGGGUGGCAGCAGUGGGGAAUAUUGGACAAUGGGCGCAAGCCUGAUCCAGCCAUACCGCGUGGGUGAAGAAGGCCUUCGGGUUGUAAAGCCCUUUUGUUGGGAAAGAAAAGCAGCAGGUUAAUACCCCGCUGUUCUGACGGUACCCAAAGAAUAAGCACCGGCUAACUUCGUG
rnacentral:rRNA from 1 species